rnacentral:lncRNA from 1 species
CGCUCGCCUGCAUCGGCGCUCGGAGUCCGGGGAUCAACCGUGAGGGCAUCAUGCUGUUCUGGUCCUACCCAGUGAAGUCGGCGUGUGCAGGAGGCCGCGGAUGGUUGGCUGGUGCUCGACGGUCCAGGAGCUCCGCCAUUGGGCCAUACCUGCGUCGUCCACCGGUCCUUGUCUUCGCCUCUCUCGUCGGUGAGGCACUCUCUUUCGUAUUCUUCAUUUCUCUGCUCCUCCCUGCACUUGGGCAUCCUCGGUUUGACCGGGGGGCAUCGGUGGUGUGCUUCGCCAGCGUGAUGUGUGCUGUAGUCAAGUGCGAGUUCGUGCUCGGGGGUAAUGGAGCCGCUGUCCGGUGCAUGCAUCAUCGCGUCGAGUUAUUAGGAAAAGGAAGAAGACGACACGAGAGCCCUCGAUCUACAAAUGAACGGCUCGGAUUGAUGCAUUCGUAGUACCCGUGCGCGUCAGCCAUAGGAUCUGAAUCCGUGGGUUAGGAAUGGUCCGGGCCUCAUAAAAUUUGGGGCCGUCGGAUCUCGAUCCAGUGGCGACUGUCACUUACCGGUUUGUGAUCUAAUGCCGACCGUCGGAUUCAGAUCGCGUGGCUCUGAUUAUAGGAUACCCCCUUCGGCCUUGGAUAAUUGCUAAAGAGCCCCUGCAGUUUUUCUUAUUCAACCCGCCAUCCCGUGCCAUUAUAAGACCAUUACCGUUUAGUCCUGGAAUUUAUGCAGAACCCCCCUGGGCUCCGGUAAAAUUAUGUCCACAGUCCAUAAGCCUAAGAAAAAUUCACAAUUUAUUUUAGAAAAUGAUUUUUAAUUAAAAACAAUAUUAGAAACUUGUGAAAUUCAUAUUUAAUUCAUUUUAGCUCCGAAUUGACCCAUUCCGUUGCAAUAAUUUUGUAUUAAUAUUGUCUAUCAACUAGUAACAUUGUUUAACCAUGAAACUUGAAUUAAAAUUGUUCAUUUGAAUUAAUUCAUUCUAGGUGCUUAAUAACUCCAGAAAUUCAUAACUUGAUAACCGUAACUCCGAAUUUAGCGGUUCCCGUUCCCACGAUCUCGUAGCAACGCGUAGAUUAUUAUUAUGUAAUUUAUUCUUAUGUUUGGUGUAAUGUUAAUUUUACCUAUAUCAUGUUUGUUUGUAUUGCUACGUUUAGCAGUGAGGACACGUGUCACCUAAAGAGCAAGUUGGUACCUGGAAUCUCAAGUCCCAGGCAAGUUGUGCCCUUGAUCACUUCUUAUACCCACUCAUGUUCUAAUUAAUCAUAAUGAUCUGCAUAGGUUAAUUUGAUGGGACCUAAUAGGUUACCCUAGUUUGUUUAUCCUGAAUACCUUGUUUACCCCUGAAUCACUUGGGUAGUUCUGCUACUGCUUUAUAUGGUUCUGGGUUAAUAUUUUAUUAUAUCUAUGUUCCAAUUAUGUUGUUAUUUUAUUUAUGUUCAUGAUAAGAUCAUUAUGUUAAUUGGAACAUGGAGAACCACCCGGGAAAACAGUGCUACCACAAGGGUUUAAUGGGACGCCCUUGGCCGAUUAAUUAGGAAAGCUAGUGGAAGACUACCUUACCCGAAAGGGGCAAGGGCAGUAGGGGAGUGGUCAGUGUAGGGAGGCCCUCGGGAGGAUUUUGCUGCGAUGGCGGUCCUGCAAGGGAUUCCUGCAUUGGAGCUUCCUAUAAACUGUAGCGGGUUUUCUGAAGCUAGUGGAACUUUGUAAAGGCCUCGUAGUGUUACCCUGCCUCGCCUCCUCGGUAGAGGUGUAUGGGAAGUCGCGAUCCCUUGGAAGAUGGGUAACAUGACUUGUGGGUAAAGAUGCGCAACCUCUGCAGAGUGUAAAACUGGUAUACUAGCCGUGCUCACGGUCAUGAGCAGCUCGGACCCUCACAUGAUUAAUCUAUGGAACUUAAAUUCAAUUUGUCAUAUGCAUUGCAUCGCAGGUGAUGUUGUUACUUCUGUUCUACUAUUUAAUUGGGUUGGUAUUUACUUAUACUUAGUAAUGGCUAAUAAAAUUUUGACCAACUUUAAAAGCAAUGCUCAGCUUCAGCCAUCCUCUUUGGUAAGCCUUACACUUCACAUGAGCUCCCACCUUUGGCGAGUUCAUACACAUUAUUCCCCACAACUUGUUGAGCGAUGAACGUAUGUGAGCUCACUCUUGCUGUCUCACACCCCCCCCCCCCACAGGUCAAGACACAGGUACCACAGGAUGAGGCGCGUGGAGGAUGCUGUGAUGAGAUCGUGAGAGGUCUAGGUCGUCGUCUCCCAGUCACUUUGGGUUGCUGGACCGUUGUCUCCUUAUAAUGUAAUUAUUUAUUUUGUAUAGAACUCCUGUUAUAUAUAAAGAUGUGACAUUC